AAAUACGUGAAUGGAAUAAAUUUUGUAAAAUAUUUUGAAUGGAAAGCUUGGUUCUUAACCAAAUAACUCAGAAAUACAUAUUUUAAUGAAAAUAUGAGGUAACUAAAGAAGUUCAAAGUUAUUUAAAUCAAAUUAGCUUCCUAGAGUAAACUACUUUCACAGAAAAUACUAACAUGAAGAACUUUCAAAGCAGAUUUGACACCUUCAAAAAUAGGAAUGGGAUAUUCUAAUUUUUGUUGUACUAAGCCAAAUAUGCUUGCUAUUUUAAGCAAUUGCAGUUCUGCGCCAGACAUGACCAGAUUGUCCCCUGAACUUGGGUAGCUCACCAGAAAUAUCCCAAACGCGGACAGUCUGGUCCAGGCUAGCUGACACCACCAGGUCUUCAGAGGGGUGGAACUGAGCACACAUUACAUAGUGGUUGUGCCCCGUUAGCACACUGCAAAGGAAAAACAUAGUAAAUAACGGCAGAAAUCAAUAGCCCUCCAAGGUAAAUAAAUACCUUUCUUCAUAGUCAAUAAAUGCUUAUCUAAUUGUAUUUUCUGUGGAAGCAAGGUAAGUCAUCCUAACAACUUUGAGCUAGUAAUAAGCAAAACCACCUGUGCUAAUAGCUUCUUUUAAAAACAUAUAUUUCUUUUUUUUGUCCAGGCUGUGCUGGUACACGUCUUUAAUCUCAGAACUCAGGCAGUAGAAGCAGGAGGAUCUCUGAGUUCGAGGGUUAAGAGAAAGAGAGGUACUCAGAAGAAAGGAAGACACUACCAAGAGCAUGAGCAUAGGCUUCUCAAAGAGAAGUCCCAGAAUGUAAGACAUACCCACAUGUGGGCAUGGGCUCCUCAAGGGAAAGCUCUCUCUCUCUUUUAAGAUGAUCAUUUACCCGUUAUUCAAACUGUUUCCUGUGCAGCAUCUUCUACACUAUGACUUUAGCUCCCUCUUUGACAAAUCCCAAAUAUCUUCAGUGAGUCUC
rnacentral:lncRNA from 1 species